rnacentral:rRNA from 1 species
ACAAUGAAGAGUUUGAUCCUGGCUCAGGAUGAACGCUAGCGGCAGGCUUAACACAUGCAAGUCGAGGGGUAACAGAAGAAGCUUGCUUCUUGCUGACGACCGGCGCACGGGUGAGUUACGCGUAUAGAACCUACCUUGUACUGGGGGAUAGCCCGGAGAAAUCCGGAUUAAUACCCCGUAGUCUCUAAUUAUCGCAUGAUAUGUUAGAGUAAAGUUUCGAUGGUAUAAGAUGGCUAUGCGUCCCAUUAGUUAGUAGGUAAGGUAACGGCUUACCUAGGCUAUGAUGGGUAGGGGCCCUGAGAGGGGGAUCCCCCACACUGGUACUGAGACACGGACCAGACUCCUACGGGAGGCAGCAGUGAGGAAUAUUGGACAAUGGGCGAAAGCCUGAUCCAGCCAUGCCGCGUGCAGGAAGACAGCCCUAUGGGUCGUAAACUGCUUUUAUACGGGAAGAAUAAGGGGCACGUGUGCCCUGGUGACGGUACCGUAAGAAUAAGGACCGGCUAAC